UACAGAGGGGGCUAGCGUUGUUCGGAAUCAUUGGGCGUAAAGGGCGCGUAGGCGGCCGACCAAGUCGGAUGUGAAAUCCCUCGGCUCAACCGAGGAACUGCACUCGAUACUGGUUGGCUAGAGUCCGGGAGGGGAUGGUGGAAUUCCCAGUGUAGCGGUGAAAUGCGUAGAUAUUGGGAAGAACACCGGUGGCGAAGGCGGCCAUCUGGACCGGUACUGACGCUGAGGCGCGAAAGCCAGGGGAGCGAAUGGG
rnacentral:rRNA from 1 species